rnacentral:rRNA from 1 species
UGAUUUAAUUUUGAACGAGUGGCGGACGGGUGAGUAACACGUGGGUAACCUGCCCUUAAGUGGGGGAUAACAUUUGGAAACAGAUGCUAAUACCGCAUAAAUCCAAGAACCGCAUGGUUCUUGGCUGAAAGAUGGCGUAAGCUAUCGCUUUUGGAUGGACCCGCGGCGUAUUAGCUAGUUGGUGAGGUAACGGCUCACCAAGGCAAUGAUACGUAGCCGAACUGAGAGGUUGAUCGGCCACAUUGGGACUGAGACACGGCCCAAACUCCUACGGGAGGCAGCAGUAGGGAAUCUUCCACAAUGGACGCAAGUCUGAUGGAGCAACGCCGCGUGAGUGAAGAAGGCUUUCGGGUCGUAAAACUCUGUUGUUGGAGAAGAAUGGUCGGCAGAGUAACUGUUGUCGGCGUGACGGUAUCCAACCAGAAAGCCACGGCUAACUACGUGCCAGCAGCCGCGGUAAUACGUAGGUGGCAAGCGUUAUCCGGAUUUAUUGGGCGUAAAGCGAGCGCAGGCGGUUUUUUAAGUCUGAUGUGAAAGCCCUCGGCUUAACCGAGGAAGUGCAUCGGAAACUGGGAAACUUGAGUGCAGAAGAGGACAGUGGAACUCCAUGUGUAGCGGUGAAAUGCGUAGAUAUAUGGAAGAACACCAGUGGCGAAGGCGGCUGUCUGGUCUGUAACUGACGCUGAGGCUCGAAAGCAUGGGUAGCGAACAGGAUUAGAUACCCUGGUAGUCCAUGCCGUAAACGAUGAAUGCUAGGUGUUGGAGGGUUUCCGCCCUUCAGUGCCGCAGCUAACGCAUUAAGCAUUCCGCCUGGGGAGUACGACCGCAAGGUUGAAACUCAAAGGAAUUGACGGGGGCCCGCACAAGCGGUGGAGCAUGUGGUUUAAUUCGAAGCAACGCGAAGAACCUUACCAGGUCUUGACAUCUUUUGAUCACCUGAGAGAUCAGGUUUCCCCUUCGGGGGCAAAAUGACAGGUGGUGCAUGGUUGUCGUCAGCUCGUGUCGUGAGAUGUUGGGUUAAGUCCCGCAACGAGCGCAACCCUUAUGACUAGUUGCCAGCAUUUAGUUGGGCACUCUAGUAAGACUGCCGGUGACAAACCGGAGGAAGGUGGGGAUGACGUCAAAUCAUCAUGCCCCUUAUGACCUGGGCUACACACGUGCUACAAUGGAUGGUACAACGAGUUGCGAGACCGCGAGGUCAAGCUAAUCUCUUAAAGCCAUUCUCAGUUCGGACUGUAGGCUGCAACUCGCCUACACGAAGUCGGAAUCGCUAGUAAUCGCGGAUCAGCACGCCGCGGUGAAUACGUUCCCGGGCCUUGUACACACCGCCCGU